rnacentral:rRNA from 1 species
UACGUAGGGUGCGAGCGUUAUUCGGAAUUACUGGGCGUAAAGCGUGCGCAGGCGGCCUGUUAAGACAGAUGUGAAAUCCCCGGGCUUAACCUGGGAACUGCAUUUGUGACUGGCAGGCUAGAGUAUGGCAGAGGGGGGUAGAAUUCCACGUGUAGCAGUGAAAUGCGUAGAGAUGUGGAGGAAUACCGAUGGCGAAGGCAGCCCCCUGGGCCAAUACUGACGCUCAUGCACGAAAGCGUGGGGAGCAAACAGG